rnacentral:rRNA from 1 species
GAGUUUGAUCCUGGCUCAGGACGAACGCUGGCGGCGUGCCUAACACAUGCAAGUCGAACGGAAACAGCUUGAAGCUUGCUUUGAACUGCUUCAGUGGCGGACGGGUGAGUAACGCGUGAGGAACCUGCCUUUCAGAGGGGGAUAACGUUUGGAAACGAACGCUAAUACCGCAUGAUAUUCCGGAGUCACAUGGCACUGGAAUCAAAGGAGCAAUCCGCUGAGAGAUGGACUCGCGUCCGAUUAGCCAGUUGGCGGGGUAACGGCCCACCAAAGCGACGAUCGGUAGCCGGGCUGAGAGGCUGAACGGCCACAUUGGGACUGAGACACGGCCCAGACUCCUACGGGAGGCAGCAGUGGGGGAUAUUGCACAAUGGAGGAAACUCUGAUGCAGCAACGCCGCGUGAGGGAAGACGGUCUUCGGAUUGUAAACCUUUGUCUUCGGUGACGAUAAUGACGGUAGCCGAGGAGGAAGCUCCGGCUAACUACGUGCCAGCAGCCGCGGUAAUACGUAGGGAGCGAGCGUUGUCCGGAUUUACUGGGUGUAAAGGGUGCGUAGGCGGCUCUGCAAGUCAGGUGUGAAAACUAUGGGCUUAACUCAUAGAUUGCACUUGAAACUGUGGAGUUUGAGUGGAGUAGAGGCAGGCGGAAUUCCCGGUGUAGCGGUGAAAUGCGUAGAGAUCGGGAGGAACACCAGUGGCGAAGGCGGCCUGCUGGGCUUUAACUGACGCUGAAGCACGAAAGCAUGGGUAGCAAACAGGAUUAGAUACCCUGGUAGUCCAUGCCGUAAACGAUGAU